AAUGACACUUCGGUUGAUUUUGGAAAAGGACAGCGGCGGACGGGUGAGUAACGCGUAGGCAACCUGCCCCUGACAGAGGGAUAGCCAUUGGAAACGAUGAUUAAAACCUCAUAACGCCGAAGAAACACAUGUUUCAUCGGCCAAAGAUUUAUCGGUCAGGGAUGGGCCUGCGUCUGAUUAACUAGUUGGUGAGGUAACGGCCCACCAAGGUGACGAUCAGUAGCCGACCUGAGAGGGUGAUCGGCCACAUUGGAACUGAGACACGGUCCAAACUUCUACGGAAGGCAGCAGUAGGGAAUCUUGCACAAUGGGCGAAAGCCUGAUGCAGCAACGCCGCGUGAAGGAUGAAGGCCUUCGGGUUGUAAACUUCUGUUCUUAGGGAAGAAGAAAGUGACGGUACCUAAGGAGAAAGCCCCGGCUAACUACGUGCCAGCAGCCGCGGUAAUACGUAGGGGGCAAGCGUUAUCCGGAAUUAUUGGGCGUAAAGAGUGCGUAGGUGGUUAUCUAAGCGUAAGGUUUAAGCGUGCAGCUCAACUGCAUCUCGCCUUGCGAACUGGACUACUUGAGUGCGGGAGGGGAAAGCGGAAUUCCUAGUGUAGCGGUGAAAUGCGUAGAUAUUAGGAGGAACACCAGCGGCGAAGGCGGCUUUCUGGACUGUAACUGACACUGAGGCACG
rnacentral:rRNA from 1 species